CCUACGGGGGGCAGCAGUGAGGAAUUUUGCGCAAUGGACGAAAGUCUGACGCAGCGACGCCGCGUGAAGGAUGAAGGCCUUCGGGUUGUAAACUUCUUUUAUAGAGGAACAAGUUCUGAGUGUACUCUAUGAAUAAGGUACUGCAAACUACGUGCCAGAAGCAUCGGUGAUACGUAGGUACCAAACAUUAUCCGGAUUUACUGGGCGUAAAGAGAUGCGUAGGCGUCUUGAUAAGUUCCGCGUUAAAUCUACCGGCUCAACCGGUAAACUGCGUGGAAAACUAUCUCGAUUGAGUUAGCUAGGGGAAGACGGAAUUCUCGGUGUAGCAGUGAAAUGCGUUGAUAUCGAGAAGAACACCAAUGGCGAAGGCAGUCUUCUGGGGCUUAACUGACGCUAAGGCUCGAAAGCGUGGGGAGCAAACCGGAUUAGAUACCCUUGUAGUC
rnacentral:rRNA from 1 species